UCGGAUGUGGUGCACGGCGCACACCCCCACAAUAUGUUGAAGGAAGGUCUUGUUGAGGCGGGAGUCCUGGGUUCGACUCCCAGCAUCCGAG